GCUACGGGUGGCAGCAGUGAGGAAUAUUGGUCAAUGGCCGCAGGGCUGAACCAGCCAAGUCGCGUGAGGGAUGACGGUCCUAUGGAUUGUAAACCUCUUUUGUCAGGGCGCAAAGGGCGCCACGUGUGGCGCUUUGCGAGUACCUGAAGAACAAGCAUCGGCUAACUCCGUGCCAGCAGCCGCGGUACUACGGGGGAUGCGCGCGUUAUCCGGAUUUAUUGGGUUUAAAGGUUGCGCAGGCGGAAUGUCAAGUCAGCGGUAAAAUUUCUGGGCUCAAACCCGUCGUGCCGUUGAACCUGGGGUUGUUGAGGGAGCGAGAAGUAUGCGGAAUGCGUGGUGUAGCGGUGAAAUGCAUAGAUAUCACGCAGAACGCCGAUUGCGAAGGCAGCAUACCGGCGCUCAACUGACGCUCAUGCACGAAAGCGUGGGUAUCGAAAAGGAUUAGAUACCCCAGUAGUC
rnacentral:rRNA from 1 species